UACGUAGGGGGCUAGCGUUGUCCGGAAUCAUUGGGCGUAAAGCGCGUGUAGGCGGCCCGGUAAGUCCGCUGUGAAAGUCGGGGGCUCAACCCUCGGAAGCCGGUGGAUACUGUCGGGCUGGAGUACGGAAGAGGCGAGUGGAAUUCCUGGUGUAGCGGUGAAAAUGCGCAGAUAUCAGGAGGAACACCGAUUGCGAAGGCAGCUCGCUGGGACGUAACUGACGCUGAGACGCGAAAGCGUGGGGAGCAAACAGG
rnacentral:rRNA from 1 species